rnacentral:rRNA from 1 species
CACGCAAGCGGUUGGACAAGUCUGGCGUGAAAUCCUCUGGCUUAACCAGGGGCGGUCGCUGGAGACUGUUCGGCUUGAGGCGAUGAGAGGGGUGCAGAAUUCCCGGUGUAGUGGUGGAAUGCGUAGAGAUCGGGAGGAAUACCAGUGGCGAAAGCGGCACCCUGGCGUCGUACUGACGCACAUGUGCGAAAGCGUGGGGAGCGAACG